UGUCUCCUAAAUAGGGACCUGUAUGAACGGCUAAAUGAAUAUUUAACUGUCUCUUUUAACUAAUCAGUGAAACUGAUCUUCCAGUACAAAAGCUGGGAUAAUAAUAUAAGACGAGAAGACCCUGUGGAGCUUUAAAUUUCAACCAACAUAUAAUUACCACAGUUAUUUAUGCUUAACAUUUUAAGUUGGGGCGACUUCGGAUAAAAACUAAACAUCCGAGCAAAUAAGGCACUGCCUAAAAAAGGCCUACAAGCCAAAGCUAAUAUUGACCCAGUAAUACUGAUUAACGAACCAAGUUACCCCAGGGAUAACAGCGCCAUCUUCUUUAAGAGUUCAUAUCGACAAGAAGGUUUACGACCUCGAUGUUGGAUCAGGACACCCAAAUGGUGCAGCCGCUAUUAAAGGUUCGUUUGUUCAACGAUUAACAGU
rnacentral:rRNA from 1 species